GACCCCUCCUACGCAUCUCUUUUCUUUCCCUCUCCUCCUAUACUCUACCCCUCCACUUUUUCUGCCAUAAACUUCCGAACACCACAUUGCUGCCACAGACCCUUCUUUCCUCUAAAACCAGAGCAACAGGACUGAACCCCAAUCCUCUCCAUCUACAGCUUAGCCUCCACAUCCACUGGCAACCGGAUCACCUCCUUCAUCACCACAACAACUAGCACUCCUUUCUCCUCACUUCGCGGUUCUUCUGUCCUUCCUUCCUCUCUCCUCUCUCUGCACUAAUCGUCCCCCCCACUGCGCCUCGGCAUGGAGAAGGUGCAGCACAUGACACGGGAGGCCAUUCGGCGGGCGUCCAUCAUGGAGGUCCCCCAGCAGGCCAAGCAAAACACACAGGAGCUCUUCGUCAACUUCUGCCUCAUCCUCAUCUGCCUGCUGCUCAUCUACAUCAUUGUCUUGCUAAUGUGAGCGGGAGGGGCCACAGGUUUCCCUCUAGCCAAUGAGGGCAGAGGACUGUACAGAGGAGCCAAUCGCGUUGAAGGCUCCUUCCACGGCAUGUGAGAGACCACUGGCAAACAAGAACCACCUCCAGUUGGGGCCGAACACACGACGCCACAGCUGAACACGGACAACCCUGCAAAUCGCCAUCCCAUCACUAUGGAUCUGAUCAAUAACCGAGGACUAAACCUGCUGCUCAACUUCCUGUUUAUUGUAGUGGCCCUACUGCUCAUGCUCAUUCUGGUCAAGCUCAUGUGAUGCCAAAAUGGCCAGAAACAAGAGUAAUGGGUAUGAGAGAGACGUAUGUUUCAGAGACUCCUACUCUCUCGACCUUCAAAACCAUUUUCAAGGUGCCUUACAUGACAUUAGACUGACUUCCACACCAGACAGGCAGAGAACGUUUCUGAUUGGCUAGUUUCCUGAUGUAGUUCCCUAUUUUACUAAAUGCUUUAGUCACAGAGACUUGAAAUAUUACAAGUCUCUGGGAAGGUGUAAAGCACUUAGUAUUACACAAUAUAUAUUUCGCUCAUUUGAAUCAAAUAGUAGGGACGUUCUGAAAGUCUGGUGUUAAAAAUGGUCAGUUAAAACACCGUUAACCUACAAUACACGCUUUGCUCAAGCUUAAUGGAGGAGUAAGGGAAAUACUAAAAACCGAUUGCCACCACAUCAAUCUCAAAUAAGUAAAACAUUCUUUAAAAUUCAAAACUUGAUAACAGAUCAAAAAUGCUGCUAUAUUUGAGUUCAAAAUAAUCUAAAGCUUUAAAACAGCGAGAGGAAGAAGAUGCAUGCUUUGCUUCCCUCUAGUGGUCGCUUACUCUUACUGCGUUCAAAAAUAACAACACAAUCCCAUGAGAUUUAAGUACAUGGUUAAAUGAAGUACAGUGGAAAAUAUAGGUGAGCUUUCAAAUCACACAACACCACUGACACUAUAGAUUAUUACAUAUACAAUUUACUUUUUUUUUCAGAAAUAAAAGUUGUGCAUUCCUUAUAAGAUGUAUUUCAUAAAUUGAAGGACACGGUUGUCCUUUUAAUAAGAAUACACACUGGUCUGCCUAUAAUUUAAUCCAAAGAUGUAAUCUUUAUAUAUUAUUCAUACAAUCACUGUGUUGUUGUUAAUAUCUGUGUGAAAAUAUUUAUGUAAUAAUACUCAUAAAUGGAAAGGAAUAACUGUGCAGUGCAGGCAGUUUGGACAAAUAAAGCAAGCACUGCAAAUAAAACACUUGCACUGUUGACAA